GGGGGUAUAGCUCAGUGUAAUUAGAGCAACUAUUUAGCAUGUACAAGGCCCUGGGUUCAAUUCACAGUGCUGCUA
rnacentral:tRNA from 1 species